GUCACUUUUGUUGAGUGGUUAAGGCGUGUGCUGCUAAGGACAUGGUUUCUCCCCGCAAGAGUUCGAAUCUCUUAGGCGACG
rnacentral:tRNA from 1 species